rnacentral:rRNA from 1 species
UACGGAGGGGGCUAGCGUUGUUCGGAAUUACUGGGCGUGAAGCGCACGUAGGCGGCUUUGUAAGUUAGAGGUGAAAGCCCAGGGCUUAACCCCUGGAAUUGCCUUUAAGACUGCAUCGCUAGAAUCGUGGAGAGGUGAGUGGAAUUCCGAGUGUAGAGGUGAAAUUCGUAGAUAUUCGGAAGAACACCAGUGGCGAAGGCGACUCACUGGACACGUAUUGACGCUGAGGUGGCGAAAGCGUGGGGAGCAAACAGG